rnacentral:rRNA from 1 species
AUAUUGGUCAAUGGGCGAGAGCCUGAACCAGCCAAGUCGCGUGAGGGAGUACUGCCCUAUGGGUUGUAAACCUCUUUUGUCGGGGAGCAAAAGCCGGACGUGUCCGGCUGUGAGAGUACCCGAAGAAAAAGCAUCGGCUAACUCCGUGCCAGCCGCCGCGGUAAUACGGAGGAUGCGAGUGUUAUCCGGAUUUAUUGGGUUUAAAGGGUGCGCAGGCGGAUUUUUAAGUCAGCGGUCAAAUCGUGGGGCUCAACCCCAUCCAGCCGUUGAAACUGGGGAUCUAGAGUGUGCGAGAGGUAUGCGGAAUGCGUGGUGUAGCGGUGAAAUGCAUAGAUAUCACGCAGAACCCCGAUUGCGAAGGCAGCAUACCGGUGCACAACUGACGCUCAGGCACGAAAGCGUGGGUAUCGAACAGG